GAUGAACGCUGGCGGCGUGCCUAAUACAUGCAAGUCGAGCGAACAGACGAGGAGCUUGCUCCUCUGACGUUAGCGGCGGACGGGUGAGUAACACGUGGAUAACCUACCUAUAAGACUGGGAUAACUUCGGGAAACCGGAGCUAAUACCGGAUAAUAUUUUGAACCGCAUGGUUCAAUAGUGAAAGACGGGUUUGCUGUCACUUAUAGAGGGAUCCGCGCAGCAUUAGCUAGUUGGUAAGGUAACGGCUUACCAAGGCAACGAUGCGUAGCCGACCUGAGAGGGUGAUCGGCCACACUGGAACUGAGACACGGUCCAGACUCCUCCGGGAGGCAGCAGUAGGGAAUUUUCCGCCAUGGGCGAAAGCCUUACGGAGCAACGCCGCGUGAGUGAUGAAGGUCUUCGGAUCGUAAAACUCUGUUAUUAGGGAAGAACAAAUGUGUAAGUAACUAUGCCCGUCUUGACGGUACCUAAUCAGAAAGCCACGGCUAACUACGGU
rnacentral:rRNA from 1 species